rnacentral:rRNA from 1 species
UGGAUCCAGACUUUGAUUCCGGCUCAGGACGAACGCUGGCGGCGCGCCUAACACAUGCGAGUCGAACGAGCAAAGAGGAGCUUGCUUCUCUGAGCGAGUGGCGAACGGGUGAGUAACGCGUGAGGAACCUGCCUCAAAGAGGGGGACAACAGUUGGAAACGACUGCUAAUACCGCAUAAGCCCACGGGUCGGCAUCGACCAGAGGGAAAAGGAGCAAUCCGCUUUGAGAUGGCCUCGCGUCCGAUUAGCUAGUUGGUGAGGUAAUGGCCCACCAAGGCGACGAUCGGUAGCCGGACUGAGAGGUUGAACGGCCACAUUGGGACUGAGACACGGCCCAGACUCCUACGGGAGGCAGCAGUGGGGAAUAUUGCACAAUGGGGGAAACCCUGAUGCAGCGACGCCGCGUGGAGGAAGAAGGUCUUCGGAUUGUAAACUCCUGUUGUUGAGGAAGAUAAUGACGGUACUCAACAAGGAAGUGACGGCUAACUACGUGCCAGCAGCCGCGGUAAAACGUAGGUCACAAGCGUUGUCCGGAAUUACUGGGUGUAAAGGGAGCGCAGGCGGGAAGACAAGUUGGAAGUGAAAUCCAUGGGCUCAACCCAUGAACUGCUUUCAAAACUGUUUUUCUUGAGUAGUGCAGAGGUAGGCGGAAUUCCCGGUGUAGCGGUGGAAUGCGUAGAUAUCGGGAGGAACACCAGUGGCGAAGGCGGCCUACUGGGCACCAACUGACGCUGAGGCUCGAAAGUGUGGGUAGCAAACAGGAUUAGAUACCCUGGUAGUCCACACCGUAAACGAUGAUUACUAGGUGUUGGAGGAUUGACCCCUUCAGUGCCGCAGUUAACACAAUAAGUAAUCCACCUGGGGAGUACGACCGCAAGGUUGCAACUCAAAUGAAUUGACGGA